ACGUAGGGAGCGAGCGUUGUCCGGAAUCAUUGGGCGUAAAGAGCGCGUAGGUGGAUUGGUCAGUCUGCUGUGAAAGUCAAAGGCUCAACCUUUGAAAGCCGGUGGAUACUGCCAAUCUAGAGUACGGAAGAGGCGAGUGGAAUUCCUGGUGUAGCGGUGGAAUGCGCAGAUAUCAGGAGGAACACCAAUAGCGAAGGCAGCUCGCUGGGACGUUACUGACACUGAGGCGCGAAAGCGUGGGGAGCAAACAGG
rnacentral:rRNA from 1 species